AGGUGUCCUGUGAGGAUGCUGGAGGUAUCGGAAGCGCGAAUGCUGACAUGAGUAGCGAUAAAACGGGUGAAAGUCCCGUUCGCCGGAAGCCAAGGUUUCCUGCGCAACGUUCAUCGGCGCAGGGUGAGUCGCCCCUAAAGGCGAGGCAGAGGAUGCGUAGCUGAUGGGAAACAGGUCAAUAUUCUGUACCGCUAUCAAUGCGAUGGGGGGACGGAGAAGGUAAGGCCAGCCAGGUGUUGGAUGUCCUGGUUUAAGCGUGUGGCGUGCCCCUCGGCAAAUCCGGGGGCUAAGCUGAGGCGUGACACGAGGCUACGGUGCUGAAGUGGUUGAUCCUAUGCUUCCAAGAAAAGCCUCUAAGCUUCAGUUGGAUAGUGACCGUACCGCAAACCGACACAGGUGGGCGGGGUGAGAAUCUAAGGCGCUUGAGAGAACUCUGGAGAAGGAACUCGGCAAAUUGACACCGUAACUUCGGGAUAAGGUGUGCCUCUAUUACGUGAAGACCCUUGCGGUUGGAGCGGAAGAGGUUGCAGUGAAAAGGUGGCUGCAACUGUUUAUUAAAAACACAGCACUGUGCAAACACGAAAGUGGACGUAUACGGUGUGACGCCUGCCCGGUGCCGGAAGGUUAAGUGAUGGGGUGCAAGCUCUUGAUCGAAGCCCCGGUAAACGGCGGCCGUAACUAUAACGGUCCCUAAGGUAGCGAAAUUCCUUGUCGGGUAAGUUCCGACCCGCACGAAUGGCGUAACGAUGGCCACACUGUCUCCUCAGAGACUCAGCGAAAUUGAAGUGUUUGUGAAGAUGCAAUCUCCCCGCGGCUAGACGGAAAGACCCCAUGAACCUUUACUGCAGCUUUGCAUUGGACUUUGACGGGACAUGUGUAGGAUAGGUGGGAGGCUGUGAAGCGGGAACGCUAGUUCUCGUGGAGCCAACCUUGAAAUACCACCCUGGUGUCGUUGAGGUUCUAACCUGGACCCCUUAUCAGGGUCGGGGACCGUGCAUGGUAGGCAGUUUGACUGGGGCGGUCUCCUCCCAAAAGGUAACGGAGGAGCACGAAGGUUGGCUAGACACGGUCGGAAAUCGUGUUGAUAGUGCAAGGGCAUAAGCCAAAGCAACUGCGAGACCCACAAGUCGAGCAGAUGCAAAGCAGGUCCUAGUGAUCCGGUGGUUCUGUAUGGAAGGGCCAUCGCUCAACGGAUAAAAGGUACUCUGGGGAUAACAGGCUGAUUCCGCCCAAGAGUUCACAUCGACGGCGGAGUUUGGCACCUCGAUGUCGGCUCAUCUCAUCCUGGGGCUGUAGCCGGUCCCAAGGGUAUGGCUGUUCGCCAUUUAAAGAGGUACGUGAGCUGGGUUCAAAACGUCGUGAGACAGUUUGGUCCCUAUCUGCCGUGGGCGCUGGAGAUUUGACGGGGGCUGCUCCUAGUACGAGAGGACCGGAGUGGACGCACCUCUGGUGUACCGGUUAUCACGCCAGUGGUAUCGCCGGGUAGCUAAGUGCGGAAGAGAUAAACGCUGAAAGCAUCUAAGCGUGAAACUCGCCUGAAGAUGAGAUCUCCCGGAGGCUUGACCUCCUUGAAGGGUCGUUGAAGACCACAACGUUGAUAGGCUGGUGUGGAAGCGCGGUAACGCGUUAAGCUAACCAGUACUAAUUGCCCGUACGGCGACCCUAU
rnacentral:rRNA from 1 species